CCUACGGGGUGCAGCAGUGGGGAAUAUUGGGCAAUGGAGGCAACUCUGACCCAGCAAUGCCGCGUGAGUGAUGAAGGUAAUUUUAUUGUAAAGCUCUUUUCUUUGGAACGAAUAAAUGACGGUACCCCAAUAGCAAGCCACGGCUAACUACGUGCCAGCAGCCGCGGUAAUACGUAGGUGGCAAGCGUUAUCCGGAAUGACUGGGCGUAAAGGGUGCGUAGGUGGUUUAGUAAGUUGGCGGUGUAAUUCCGGGGCUCAACCUCGGCGCUACCGCCAAAACUAUUAGACUAGAGUGCAGGAGGGGUAAGUGGAAUUCCUAGUGUAGCGGUGGAAUGCGUAGAUAUUAGGAGGAACAUCAGGGGCGAAGGCGACUUACUGGACUGUAACUGACACUGAGGCACGAAAGCGUGGGGAGCAAACAGGAUUAGACACCCGGGUAGUC
rnacentral:rRNA from 1 species